rnacentral:tRNA from 1 species
GCCAGCAUCGCCUAAUCCGGUAUGGCGUCGGUCUCGAAAACCGAUCCCUCUGGGAUUCCCGGUUCAAAUCCGGGUGCUGGCG